GUGGCGGAUGGCGAAAUUGGUAGACGCGCUAGAAAAAUAUCCUUGAUGCAAAACUCGUCUUUAUAGGCCGAAGUAUUGAGGGUUAUCGGAAUCUUGUACCGCGAGGUUUGUGGGUUCGAGUCCCACUCCGCCACACCA
rnacentral:tRNA from 2 species